GACGAACGCUGGCGGCGUGCUUAACACAUGCAAGUCGAACGCUGAAGCUCAGCUUUUGUUGGGUGGAUGAGUGGCGAACGGGUGAGUAACACGUGAGUAACCUGCCCUCUUCUUUGGGAUAACGCCCGGAAACGGGUGCUAAUACUGGAUAUUCACUGAUCUUCGCAUGGGGGUUGGUGGAAAGGUUUGUUCUGGUGGGGGAUGGGCUCGCGGCCUAUCAGCUUGUUGGUGGGGUGAUGGCCUACCAAGGCUUUGACGGGUAGCCGGCCUGAGAGGGUGACCGGUCACAUUGGGACUGAGAUACGGCCCAGACUCCUACGGGAGGCAGCAGUGGGGAAUAUUGCACAAUGGGCGGAAGCCUGAUGCAGCGACGCCGCGUGAGGGAUGGAGGCCUUCGGGUUGUAAACCUCUUUCGCUCAUGGUCAAGCCGCAACUGUGGGUUGUGGUGAGGGUAGUGGGUAAAGAAGCGCCGGCUAACUACGUGCCAGCAGCCGCGGUAAUACGUAGGGCGCGAGCGUUGUCCGGAAUUAUUGGGCGUAAAGGGCUUGUAGGCGGUUGGUCGCGUCUGCCGUGAAAUUCUCUGGCUUAACUGGGGGCGUGCGGUGGGUACGGGGCUGACUUGAGUGCGGGUAGGGGAGACUGGAACUCCUGGUGUAGCGGUGGAAUGCGCAGAUAUCAAGAAGAACACCGGUGGCGAAGGCGGUCUCUGGGCCGUUACUGACGCUGAGGAGCGAAAGCGUGGGGAGCGAACAGG
rnacentral:rRNA from 1 species